rnacentral:rRNA from 1 species
GGGUGAGUAAUGCUUCGGAAUCUACCCAGAUGGUGGGGAAUAACCAGCCGCAAAGGUUGGCUAAUACCGCAUACCGGUCCUACGGGAGAAAGCAGGGGAUCGUAAGACCUUGCGCCAUUGGAUGAGCCUGGAAGUCGGAUUACUAGUAGUGGGUUAACUGGUCUACCAAGGCGACGAUCCGUAGCUGGUCUUGAGAGGACGACCAGCCACACUGGGACUGAGACACGGCCUCCAAACACCUCAAACGGGAGGCAGAGUGGGCGAAUAUUGGACAAUGGGGGAAACCCUGAUCCAGCGACGCCGGUGUGUGUGAAGAACGGCCUGGGGUUGUAAAGCACCUUGUCGAGUGGGGAUCGAAAAGUUCAGGGCUAAUACCCCUGGAUCUUGACCUAACCCACAGAAAAAGCACCGGCCUACCUCUGUGCCAAGCCGCCGCGG